AGAUGUAUUACCGCGGCUGCUGGCACGGAGUUAGCCGGUACUUCUUCUGCGAGUAACGUCAAUCAAUCGCGCUAUUAACACGACUGCCUUCCUCCUCGCUGAAAGUACUUUACAACCCGAAGGCCUUCUUCAUACACGUGGCAUGGCUGCAUCAGGCUUGCGCCCAUUGUGCAAUAUUCCCCACUGCUGCCUCCCGUAGGAGUCCCCCCGUGCCCCCGCCCCGCCCGGGGCGCGCCCCGGGCGAUCAC
rnacentral:rRNA from 1 species